rnacentral:ncRNA from 1 species
GCCUACCGACAAAUGUCGAAACGGAUAUAAGAAUACCCGUAUGACCUCUGGGUCAUAGGUAUACUACGCUAAUAACAAUUAACAUAACCAUUGGUCGACAAUGUAUCCUGUUCUUGGAAACAAGAAGAAAGACAAAGUAAGGUAGCCGUCUUUGUAGCAAUACAACAGACAGGAG